rnacentral:rRNA from 1 species
CGCCUCUUGCAAAUAACAACAUAAGAGGUCCCGCCUGCCCUGUGACUAUAUGUUUAACGGCCGCGGUAUUUUGACCGUGCGAAGGUAGCGCAAUCACUUGUCCUUUAAAUGGGGACCUGUAUGAAUGGCACGACGAGGGCUUAACUGUCUCCUCUUUUAAGUCAAUGAAAUUGAUCUCUCCGUGCAGAAGCGGAGAUACGCCCAUAAGACGAGAAGACCCUGUGGAGCUUCAGACACCAAAACAGACCAUGUUAAAGACCCCAAAAUAAAAGGCCAAACUUAAUGCCCCCUGCCUUGAUGUCUUCGGUUGGGGUGACCGAGGAGAAGAACACAACCUCCAUGAGGAAUAGGAGUACUACUCCCACAGCCAUGAACCCCUGUUCUAACCACCAGAAUUUCUGACCUUACGAUCCGGCAACGCCGAUUAACGAACCAAGUUACCCCAGGGAUAACAGCGCAAUCCCCUUUUAGAGCCCCUAUCAACAAGGGGGUUUACGACCUCGAUGUUGGAUCAGGACAUCCUAAUGGCGCAGCCGCUAUUAAGGGUUCGUUUGUUCAACGAUUAAAGUCCU